GCAGAAGGUGGCAAAGG
rnacentral:misc_RNA from 1 species